rnacentral:tRNA from 1 species
CAGAGGGUAGUUUAACUGAGAAUCUUAGCUUUGGGAGCUAAGGGUAGGAGUUAAAUCCCCUCCCUCUGA